CCUCACACCGGCACCGCAGCGGCGCUCUUCUGGAUCCUCUUACCGGACUCUAACUAAGGUUGCACUUCGAUGGUUUUAUAACAGUUCUCACUGUAGGCCUACUGGAAACAUUUUAACCAGAGAGUUCCAGGACCCGCGCUAAACGUGCCGGAAGGCAGACGGCACAAAACGGAGAGGAUCCGGAACGCGUUCCUGCACAGGAACCGGCACAAAUUAAGCCCUGAUAUCCGAUUAUUAUGAUUCUCCUGCCUCCAGCAGAUGGAUCACCGGACCUCGAUCGCCCACCCCUCUCCAUCGCUGUCUUCCAUCAUCAGGACGUUUUUAUACACUGUUUACGGCCGCAUUUGUCAUUUGUACUUUUAUAGACACUAUUCUCCAGGAUUUCUGCUCCGUUGCCUCCUCUGAAAGGGUCAGAGAAUCGCUUUUUGGGUUCUUCCGCACGUCCGUGCUCUUUGACUCACUCAGGAGGAAUGGCUGACUGACAGGCCCCUCGCCAUCGUCUCAGCGGGCCGCCUCCAGCCAGUCCCUGCUGCCCAUUUCAGGCACUGUGUCAUUCCAGGGCCAGUUUUGUCACCCUGUCCUCAGGCCGGACCACCUCGGACAUUCCACAUUUCAUCCACUGUGAGCGUCGUCGCCUUGUUUACGGCUUCAUGUGGGGUGAGAUGCCAGCGGCCAGCCGGCUCUGAGCUGUCAGUGACGGACAGUGGGGGUGGCGGGGGUGGGGGGCUCUGGUCCGAGCCACGUGUCUGCCGUGAUGAGUUCCCGCUGGACCACCGGAUGUGCGUCUCUCUCCCGGGCCACAAGUGUAGUGUGCGGUGUCCAUUCCGCGACACUCUCUGACCGUGUCAGUCAUGCUCUUAAGGGGCUGUGGAUUAUGCCUAAUGACCAUUUCCUGCAGGCCCAGGAAGGCAAUGAUGCUCAGUGGUGUGCUUUGGGGAGGGGGGGGGGUACGUUUUUUUUUCAGUUUUUAUCAUUAGUUGAAGGACGGAGGGGUAUUAGCACUGUGAAGGCACUGCUGUUUUAUUUCUGCUACAUGGGAGAGGGGAAUCCAGAAGGACACGCGCUGCUCUACUCUACAGCAAACACACCCUGACAGGGACAGGCCGAUUUACAACUCCUGAUCCACUCCCCUAUUCAUGGCGGACAAGUUUACCAAACCAGACGCACCAGUGGAUGACGCAGUGAUUGGGGGGGGACCAGAUUUAUGACCGUGUCCCACAACAGCUCCUUGAGACUGAGGCUGAACCACCGUGGUCAAUUUGCCAGGACUGUACUUCUGCCAGCAUUAAAGUUUGUGAGCUCAGUAAGUUCAUUUGCAGUAACAAACACCUAUAGAGGGAAAACGGCGACCGUGAACGGGCUCUGAUCCACAGCUUCUGACCAUAAACGUCCUCUGACCCAAAGUCUCAGAACACGGACACACUCUGAUCCGAUGUUUCUGACUGUGCGAGCUCCCUGAACUCGUCUGACCUAAUGUCUGUGACGGCGAACGCCCCCUCUUGGUGAGCACACCCGACCCCACCAUCUGGGGGAUCCGCUGAACCGGCCCGGACCGUGCGUGUGAGCCUCUCCCCUGACCCGGUCGUCUGACAAUAAAGCGAACCUGUAACAGUCUUUUCUGUGAACUUUUAGAGAAAUAUCUUUUGUUUCUAAUUGUAGCAGUUGCAUAAUGUGCAAUAAAUUAUUUAUUAACAAACCCAUUAACGCUGCAUUACACUUAAAGAAAUGUUCCAUUCAGGAAACAACCUAGCUUUUGCUAAUAAUGCACAUUAAUCAUUAGCGGAUGUCACUUAACACAAGGUUAAUGAUGCUUUGUUAAUACUACUCCAACAUAUUCCACAUCAGAAAGCCCUUGUAAGAGUAAUUUGUAACCCUAACCUUUA